GGCGAACGCUGGCGGCGUGCUUAACACAUGCAAGUCGAACGGAAAGGCCCUGCUUUUGUGGGGUGCUCGAGUGGCGAACGGGUGAGUAACACGUGAGUAACCUGCCCUUGACUUUGGGAUAACUUCAGGAAACUGGGGCUAAUACCGGAUAGGAGCUCCUGCUGCAUGGUGGGGGUUGGAAAGUUUCGGCGGUUGGGGAUGGACUCGCGGCUUAUCAGCUUGUUGGUGGGGUAGUGGCUUACCAAGGCUUUGACGGGUAGCCGGCCUGAGAGGGUGACCGGCCACAUUGGGACUGCGAUACGGCCCAGACUCCUACGGGGGGCAGCAGUGGGGAAUAUUGCACAAUGGGCGGAAGCCUGAUGCAGCAACGCCGCGUGCGGGAUGACGGCCUUCGGGUUGUAAACCGCUUUCGCCUGUGACGAAGCGUGAGUGACGGUAAUGGGUAAAGAAGCACCGGCUAACUACGUG
rnacentral:rRNA from 1 species